rnacentral:lncRNA from 1 species
AGAACCUUGGAAUAGUGAACUGCAUGGCACGGUGCUUUGUACGAGGGGCGGAGUUUCAGGCUUCAGACUCAGACUGGCCGAUGCUUCUCAUUGAUGGUACACCUUGCGACAAACACAAACGAAAUAUCUGCCUUAACGGAGACUGCGUACCCAAAGACAGACGCAGGCGUCUUCAGUCUUGGGCAGAAUAAAUGCAUAUGCUAAGAAGCACUGGCUUUGUGACAUACCAAAGCGGACACAUUAGUAUACUUAUCGAAUUGCAAAUACCGUGCUACAGCUUAUGCACUGCGGCAAAUUAUUGAUCUUUUCUAUAAAGGCGAGUCACUGAUAGCAAUAUCAAUGUGGUAGAGAA